GUGGGGAAUAUUGGACAAUGGGGGGAACCCUGAUCCAGCCAUGCCGCGUGUGUGAAGAAGGCCUUUUGGUUGUAAAGCACUUUAAGCGAGGAGGAGGCUACCGAGAUUAAUACUCUUGGAUAGUGGACGUUACUCGCAGAAUAAGCACCGGCUAACUCUGUGCCAGCAGCCGCGGUAAUACAGAGGGUGCAAGCGUUAAUCGGAUUUACUGGGCGUAAAGCGCGCGUAGGUGGCCAAUUAAGUCAAAUGUGAAAUCCCCGAGCUUAACUUGGGAAUUGCAUUCGAUACUGGUUUGCUAGAGUAUGGGAGAGGAUGGUAGAAUUCCAGGUGUAGCGGUGAAAUGCGUAGAGAUCUGGAGGAAUACCGAUGGCGAAGGCAGCCAUCUGGCCUAAUACUGACACUGAGGUGCGAAAGCAUGGGGAGCAAACAGGAUUAGAAACCCCGGUAGUCC
rnacentral:rRNA from 1 species